rnacentral:rRNA from 1 species
AUGGCCACCGGAGGCGCGCCAGAGCCGGAGGAGGAGACCAUCGUUCUCUCCGAUUGGAUGGUACUGGAUCACAGAGGCCGCACCCGCUGCCAGAAUGGCCUAGAUGCUGCUCGUGUGGAUGUCAACAAGGACAAGACCGCCACCCCACUCGACAUGGACGGCGGCCUCUCCUGCUAUGUCUGCUUCACCCUUGCGGCUCCUCAAAAAGGGAACUCUUAUCUCAACCUCCACUUGCCGGAGGAACGUCCAUUUACCACAGUCACCCCACCCGCCUAUGCCUGCGUCCGGGCAACCGACAAGGACCUCGUCCUCUUCAACAUCACCAACCCGAGCCGGACUUGCUACUGGGACCCCCGGUAG